rnacentral:rRNA from 1 species
UGCCCUAGAGUGGGGGACAACAGUUGGAAACGACUGCUAAUACCGCAUAAGCCCACGGUACCGCAUGGUACUGAGGGAAAAGGAUUUAUUCGCUUUAGGAUGGACUCGCGUCCAAUUAGCUAGUUGGUGAGGUAACGGCCCACCAAGGCGACGAUUGGUAGCCGGACUGAGAGGUUGAACGGCCACAUUGGGACUGAGACACGGCCCAGACUCCUACGGGAGGCAGCAGUGGGGGAUAUUGCACAAUGGGGGGAACCCUGAUGCAGCGACGCCGCGUGGAGGAAGAAGGUUUUCGGAUUGUAAACUCCUGUCGUUAGGGACGAUAAUGACGGUACCUAACAAGAAAGCACCGGCUAACUACGUGCCAGCAGCCGCGGUAAAACGUAGGGUGCAAGCGUUGUCCGGAAUUACUGGGUGUAAAGGGAGCGCAGGCGGGAAGACAAGUUGGAAGUGAAAACCAUGGGCUCAACCCAUGAAUUGCUUUCAAAACUGUUUUUCUUGAGUAGUGCAGAGGUAGAUGGAAUUCCCGGUGUAGCGGUGGAAUGCGUAGAUAUCGGGAGGAACACCAGUGGCGAAGGCGGUCUACUGGGCGCCAACUGACGCUGAGGCUCGAAAGCGUGGGUAGCAAACAGGAUUAGAUACCCUGGUAGUCCAUGCCGUAAACGAUGAUUACUAGGUGUUGGGGGAUUGACCCCCUCAGUGCCGCAG